GACGAACGCUGGCGGCGUGCUUAACACAUGCAAGUCGAGCGGGGUGAUGGUGCUUGCACUAUCACUUAGCGGCGGACGGGUGAGUAAUGCUUAGGAAUCUGCCUAUUAGUGGGGGACAACAUCUCGAAAGGGAUGCUAAUACCGCAUACGUCCUACGGGAGAAAGCAGGGGAUCACUUGUGACCUUGCGCUAAUAGAUGAGCCUAAGUCGGAUUAGCUAGUUGGUGGGGUAAAGGCCUACCAAGGCGACGAUCUGUAGCGGGUCUGAGAGGAUGAUCCGCCGCACUGGGACUGAGACACGGCCCAGACUCCUACGGGAGGCAGCAGUGGGGAAUAUUGGACAAUGGGGGGAACCCUGAUCCAGCCAUGCCGCGUGUGUGAAGAAGGCCUUAUGGUUGUAAAGCACUUUAAGCGAGGAGGAGGCUCUUUUGGUUAAUACCCAAGAUGAGUGGACGUUACUCGCAGAAUAAGCACCGGCCAACUCUGUGCCAGCAGCCGCCGUAA
rnacentral:rRNA from 1 species